GUCCAUCGCUUUGGCGGAGCAGCGAGCAAGUGAGACCUCCUGCUUCUUUUAAUGCCGUUGCAUUGAUAAUGCCCAUUUUUGUCCUCAUUUUUUUCUGUUUACGAGGAAUGGGGUGGCACGACUGGUGACGUCAAGCAACAUUGCAUCUCAACAUCACUUCCUAUUACUGAAUUGCAAAACAAACAAUAAAGACAAGGAAAAUUGUUUCAUGGGGGCUUGACCUCAUGUGUUCCAUUUGAAAACAAUGGAAACUAAUGCUCCAAAUGUUUUUUUACUAAAAUUUUUAUUAUUUUUAUUAUUUUUUCAUGUUCAUGAUUUCCCCUGUUAGAGAUUACGUGUUUUUAAAAAUCAAGUUUAGAACGUCAUCUCAAAAAUAAAUUUAUUAAUGAGCCCACAUUUAUGCAUAUGUAAAGUUGGCCACAGAAACUGAGUCUUAAAGAAAAAACAAAAAAAAUGAGAAACCUUUUUUUUUUUCUCCUAUUUCUAAGAAGGCUAAAUGGCUGACUUUACCCUUCGACCAAUAAAUUCAGUAAUUUUACCAUAAGGUCUGAAUCAGUGUAGGAAAAAUCGAACCGGAGUGGUGAACUGACAUGGAGUCAAAAGCAGUUCGCCUGGCCUAACUAGUGAACUUGCCAGUUCAACCUACCUAAUAAGUCCCAAACGGUCAAAAAAUGUUAAAAGAAUAAAAAAUAUAUAAAAAAAAAAAAAUAGAAUAUGAAAAAUAUAUUUAAAGCAUCUUUAAACAAAGCACAUCCAAAUGAAGUUGAAAAUUAAUGAAAAAAUAGAUUUUAAAGAAUCAAUUAUAACUAGAGAUAUUUUUGAAAUUUUCUAAAAAAAAAUGAAAAAAUGUAAAAAUAUGUAAUAAUAGCCAAAACAAUUUCCAAUAUUUUCCAAAAUGAUGAAAAACAUUAAAAAAUGUAUUACAAACAAAAUCUCUUUUUGUUUUGAGAUUUUUAAUAAGAUUGUUUGAAUUUUUUUUAAAAUACCAACCGAUUCACCAAAACUGGCCACCAACCGGGGGGCAGUUAUGAAUUGAACUGCUUGAUUUUUCCUAUAAUGGUCUAUGCAUCCUCUAUCGGAAUUAGGGCAAGCCCUAACAUCGCCCUGGUCUUGUAGGUCUGCGUCAAAAGGGUUGGAUAGGGCUAGCUUGGGUGGCCCUCGGGACCACAUUUCGUGGCCCACAACGUAGCUUUUUAAUAUCUAGGUUGCCUAGCCCAUUAUCAACAUUAGUUUAUGUUAGAAACUAUAUUUCUAUGUAUUUGGGCCUUAAGCCCCCAUCGAAGAUUAGACAUCCUAAUCCUAUCAAGAGAUAUAUACCCAUACAUAUGCAUAUUCAUACUGAUAUGAAUCAGUACGAUCCAUAUCCAUACGUUAACACCCUCCCUCAAACUCAAGAUGCUUUGACACAAAGCAUCUAGAGUUUGAACAAUAAGUUGUAUAAACGAAUGAGUUGGAUCUUCAGGUCUUCAGGUUAGUUACAUAAACGAACGAGUUGGAUCUUUAGGUCUUCAGGUCUUCAGCUCAUCGCGUGACCGAUUAAAACAGUGGUCACCAUGUUCAAAUUGCUUGAACAACGGCAAACCUCAAGAGCAUAGGGCCUCAAGAACAUCCUGGAUCAAGUAACAAAAGUUCAAUCAACAGCAGACAAACCGGCAUUCGAAACAUACUAGAUCGAGUAACUGAAAACUCAAUCAUCAAACGAGAUCCAAUAACGAAAAACUCAAUCAUCAGAUGGGAUCAAGUAACGAAAAAUUCUAUCAUUAGACAGGAUCGAGUAACAAAAAACCUGAUCAUCAGACAGGAUCGAGUAAACUCGAUCAUCACACAUGAUGGAGUAACAGAAAACUUCAUCAUCUAAUGGGAUUGAGUAAUGAAAAACUCAAUCAUUAAACAUAAUCAAGUAAGGAAAAAGUUUAUUAUCAACUAGGAUCUAGAACUUCGAUCAUCAAAUUUGAGACACUUGAAAGAGCCAAUAGAAAUAAGCAGAUCAACAAGCACAGUUGGACCUUAAAUUCGAAGUUAAGAACAGUAAGAUCCAAAAUAGAUAUGACAUCAUAGGGUAGCAUGUCACUAAUGGUUUAUCUUUUUGAUGCCAGAUGAACAUAGAGGUGCAAUCAGAUUCAACUGUCACAUGUACUUAUAUUUGCACUUACUCCAAAGGUCUGUCAUGUAAAUAUUGGUGCACCGUCACUUUUGCAAAGAGGGUAAUAAAAAGUUCUUCCAACAAAAUCAUUUCAAAGUGCGUGACUUUUACGAGUAGUAUUCAACCACUAAAAAAGGCAAGGGAAGGGAACCUAUAGACUAUUCAAGAGAUAUUGCACUGAUUAGAAAGAAAAGCAAGGGAAUGAGUAAAGAACAAUUUUUAGAGAGAAAAAU
rnacentral:lncRNA from 1 species